UNGCAGGACUCUCAGGACUCAGUGUGGAA
rnacentral:piRNA from 1 species